rnacentral:rRNA from 1 species
AUGUUCACGGAUCAUCAUGGAAGUAGUGGUACUUUCAGUCCUCGAUGGCGAGACGGGGUAGCGGUACUUGACACAUCACCAUGUAGUCGUGCACUUGUCGAAGAGGAUCUUGGCGCAUCCAACAUGAAGCAACACAAAAGGGCCUCGGGUCUUGGUGGUCAACAAAGAGAGGCGGCCCUGGAUGGAGCUGUGAGUAGAGGACAAACAGGGACUUGGCGCCUGGUGCAACCGGCGAUUGACGAGGAGGCGAAGAUGGAGCAGGUCCGGCAAGGGGAGGUGCAGGGUGGCAGAGCAGGGAACUUGGCGCGGCGGUGGCCUGUCCUUGUAGAGGAGGUCGAGGCAGAGGUGGGACAUGGCGCCAGCGGGACUUGGCGCUAA